rnacentral:RNase_P_RNA from 1 species
GGAGUGGUUCGGGUAAUCGCGGUAUGUUGAUGCAUAUCGAGGAAAGUCCGGGCUGCAUAGAACAGGAUGCUGGAUAACGUCCAGUGGGGGAAACCCUAGGAAAGUGCCACAGAGACUAGACCGCCAUCGCUUGCGAUGGUCAGGGUGAAAAGGUGUGGUAAGAGCGCACCGCUGUAUUCGGUAACGCGUACAGGCGUAGGUAAACCCCAUCCGCAGCAAGGCCAAAUAGGGAGUCGUUAAGCGUGGUUCGCGCGUGGCUUCGGGUAGGCUGCUUGAGGCUGCCAGUAAUGGCAUGUCCAGAGGAAUGGUUAUCACCAUUAUUUGUAAUAAAUAAUGGCACAGAACCCGGCUUAUAGAGCCACUCCGCAC